CAAAAGUGGCAACCCGAAAUUUAGACUCUAUGACGCAAAGCAUAUAUAUAGCGCUAUAUGGGCAAAGUGCAUGCCCGCUUCAUCGAAUUAAGCAUAUACAAUGCGAGUGCUAUAAUCACACAACGACCUAUGCAUUCUUCAUAAAAAAGUCUUAAUUGUAAAAAUAUAUAAUGGUAUACAAUGUUCAAAAAUAAAGCGGUUAAAACUAUAUUACAAAAUCAUACCUUGGUCGAUCGCGGCAAAAUUGAAAGAAUGACUAAUUAAAAAUAUUCCAAAUGUUCUAAAAUAUAAAUAUAUAUGUAUGUAGUUUAAAAAAUGUACGAGGAAAAUACUAUUUUCCCUGUUAACCGUCCGCUUGCUUGAUGCCUCUCCUAUACGCUUUUGAUCCCUUCAUUUUUAUCAAAUUACAAGACAGUGCGCAGUUUUAACUGCGCAUCUAAAAUGACGCGUUUUGCGUGUCGAGAUAAAAUUGCAGUUGAUUCCUCGAGAGCAACUUUUUUCAUAUUCAAAUUAAACCUAAGUUCUAUUGUGGCUACAUGUAAAUACACAGGGAUGCUCGAGCAAUUGAACACUUGGCUGGUUUACACUAUCAAAGUUUCAAUAAUCACAGUAGGAAUUUAACAUAGGUACUGAUUUGAAGUUUUGAAGGGGAUUUGUAAGAAAUGUUUGAGAGAACUGACUCAGUGUUAAAAAAAACCCCAGUUCCCUCACACAUGUCUUACAAAUCCUUCAAAACUUAGAAUUUACCUAUGCUAAAUCAUAGAUAUCUUAUAUACACUAGAUAGUGCAUCUAAUUAUUCUGCAAUUCAAAAAUCGAAGCCGUGAUUGCAGACUCAGGAUAUUCCCAUGAAAUGAGAAGACUCGUAUGUUUUCUAUUUCUUAAACAGGGAACUUAAACAUUAAGUUAAACCUAUUCCAAAUACAUUUUCAAACUAUUCAAAUGAUGAAAGUUAUAGUUGUUUUUUCAAGCGUUUAUUAGCGAGUGGGAAACUUGAACAUGGCCGCCAUCUAUUCAAAUGGGGUAACCGCUGGAAUAUUCUUGGCUUCAAUUUUACUAAAAGAGAUGCGCUAUCUAGUGUAUAUUAUACAAAUAAUGAAUGUUUAUGAGUGCAAUGGUAAGAAUAUUUUCAUGAGGUGAAAGAUGGAAUGUUCCAUUCAACGAGGCGACAGCCAAGUUGAAUGGAACAUUCCAUCUUUCACCGAAUGAAAAUAUUC